GCAAAUUACCCACUCCCGGCACGGGGAGGUAGUGACNAAAAAUAACNAUACGGGACUCAUCCGAGGCCCCGUAAUCGGAAUGAGCACACUUUAAAUCCUUUAACNAGUAUCCAUUGGAGGGCAAGUCUGGUGCCAGCAGCCGCGGUAAUUCCAGCUCCAAUAGCGUAUAUUAAAGUUGUUGCGGUUAAAAAGCUCGUAGUCGGACUUGUGUCACACGCUGCCGGUUCACCGCCCGUCGGUGUUUAACUGGCAUGCACGUGCUGACGUCCUGCCGGUGGCCCGAGCCGGCCCGGGAGCUCUGGGUGCGGGAUUCCCUUCGGGGGCCCGCCUCGAACCUGGCGUCCGGGGAGGGCCUACUCAUACCCAUCUGGGUGCUCUUAACCGAGUGUCUCGAUGGGCCGGCACGUUUACUUUGAACAAAUUAGAGUGCUUAAAGCAGGCAGCAUCCGCCUGAAUACUGAGUGCAUGGAAUAAUGGAAUAGGACCUCGGUUCUAUUUUGUUGGUUUUCGGAAUCCCCGAGGUAAUGAUCAAUAGGGACAGACGGGGGCAUUCGUAUUGCGACGUUAGAGGUGAAAUUCUUGGAUCGUCGCAAGACGGACCGAAGCGAAAGCAUUUGCCAAGAAUGUUUUCUCUGAUCAAGAACGAAAGUUAGAGGUUCGAAGGCGAUCAGAUACCGCCCUAGUUCUAACCAUAAACGAUGCCAGCCAGCAAUCCGCCGAAGUUCCUCCGAUGACUCGGCGGGCGGCUUCCGGGAAACCAAAGCUUUUGGGUUCCGGGGGAAGUAUGGUUGCAAAGCUGAAACUUAAAGGAAUUGACGGAAGGGCACCACCAGGAGUGGAGCCUGCGGCUUAAUUUGACUCAACACGGGAAACCUCACCAGGCCCGGACACCGGGAGGAUUGACAGAUUGAGAGCUCUUUCUUGAUUCGGUGGGUGGUGGUGCAUGGCCGUUCUUAGUUGGU
rnacentral:rRNA from 1 species